GGGAAAAUGAUAAUUACUGCUACUUUUUGCACCCAGAUUAACCUCUGGACUUUCCCG
rnacentral:tRNA from 1 species